rnacentral:rRNA from 1 species
CGGCGGACGGGUGAGUAAUGCCUAGGAAUCUGCCUGGUAGUGGGGGACAACGUUUCGAAAGGAACGCUAAUACCGCAUACGUCCUACGGGAGAAAGCAGGGACCUUCGGGCCUUGCGCUAUCAGAUGAGCCUAGGUCGGAUUAGCUAGUUGGUGAGGUAAUGGCUCACCAAGGCGACGAUCCGUAGCUGGUCUGAGAGGAUGAUCAGCCACACUGGAACUGAGACACGGUCCAGACUCCUACGGGAGGCAGCAGGU